UUUUAGGCGGGGCUUUGCGACGUCUUGUUUUGUGAUAUAUUAUGAAUGUUUCGUCAAUGUUUUGUAUUAAAAUAGCUUACUUAUGAGUCAAAGGUAACAGAAAUAAAAACACGAACAAGGGGUGGAUUAAAAAAACAGGGAGUAUUAUCGCCACAUUUUCAGCAACUUUCACUCCUCUGUCGUUGCAAUUAAUGACUCACGCGCCACUGCCUCCCAUCUUAAAGGCUCCAGCACCCCCCGUGGCCCCAAAAGAAAAUGGAUGGAUGGAUGCUGUCAUUGUGUUACAAAAGAGGUGAGCAUAAGUGAACAUAUUUGUCAGUAAGUGUUUUGAAGUGGGAAAUGGUUGGGAUUAAAUCAUACUUGCCAACCCUCCCGGAUUUUCCGGGAGACUCCCGAAAUUCAGCGCCUCUCCCGAAAACUUCCCUGAAGAAAUUUUCUUCCGAAAUUCAGCUGGAGCUGGAGGCCACGCCCACUCUAGCUCAAACAUGCACAGUUCGAAGCUUGAAAAGGAGGAUUGCAGGCGGAUCUGAUGGCGUUUAAAGGCAUUUUUAAAAAUGACUGCUAAUCCUCUUCUUUUUCGACCGGACGGCCGCGGAGAAUUAAAGUAGAAACACUCCGGAGGCAGAAGUUCAUCAAGAGGGGUAGACUCACCAGCUCUCAGCCAUGCUUCCGUCACACAGAAGAAGCGAAGUCUGCGGGAAGUGAAGAAAUCCUUCAGGAUAAACGUUUUGUUUGUCAAAGAUCUUGCUUUCACAAGACCAAACCUGGCGGGGGCCAGCACGUCCAAGGGCGCAGCUAAUCCUGGUAGGGCCCAACACACAGCCCGCAGGUGGCGGGGGAGAGGAGCCACGAGGCAGGAAAGGAAGGCAGUGAUCCGGCCAGGUGAAAAAGCUGACUGGGACGUCGAAAAAGCCAACGUCGAAGUUGAUCAUAUCAGUGGGAAAGGGGCAGAGAUCCAACAGUGUUUGGCGGUCAUACACAAGCAGUGAGCUGACAGAGACAAAAAUAGACGCAAACAACACAAAAACGAACAGAGCUGACAGCGAGAGACGGCAGGGCAAAGCACAUACUGGCGCCAUCUUCUGGAAACUCGGAAGUGACGUUACUCAAAUAGUGAAAGUGUUGAAUGUGAAGGACAACAGGUGAAGAAGCUGAGACGGAUUUUCAACAUGCCUCCUUUCCAUCAUCUUCACAAACUCCUUUCUCAUGACAUAACCACGGCAGAGGGCCUGAGUCAUUGUGACCAGAGUUGCCAGUUUUUCAUCUCUCAUUUCCUCAAGAGUACCCAGAAGACCUGCUUUGAAGAAGACCUGACCAGAUUGAAACAUACAGUUCAGCAGAUGUUCAUCUACCCCAAAUCAAUGAAAUGUCAACAACACGUUAUUGUGGAUUGAACCCUUUAGAAUACAAUCAAUCUUUAGAAAACAACUAAUCACAUUACACAUACAACUUUAAACUCAAUAAUUAGUUUACCUUGGUGUGACCAAAUCUGUACUGGUCAUGGUCAAUAUCAAUUGAACCAAGCAGCUUCUCUGCAGCCUUCUUGUUGUCAAUGAACUGUCCCUCAGGGAUGACACUGGCAUUCAGUACCUUGUACCUUUUUUGUCAGUGGAUAUUGUUACAUAAGUUAAGUCUUAUAAAAAUAGUAAAAACCUUUAAAUUACAAAUAGUACCUCUGCUUAAAGUCUCCAUAGAGAAUUCUGCUGGGAAAACCUUUCCUGCAGAUUCUGAUACCCUCCAGCACACCGUUACACCUGAGCUGAUGGAUGACCAGGAAGUUCUCCAUCAGACCUGUUGAAAUAGACAACUAUAAUGUUUUAUCAGCUAUCAAUAUUCAUUAACAGCAUUUUGAAACCUAAUUAUAUUACAUAAAAUACUUUAUUGAUAUAAUUACCUGGUGUCUUUGACUCAUUAGGAAUCAGACAACGCACAAAGUGAGGAUGAGUGCUUCUUAAGUUAGUCAUUAGCUUGCCCAAGUUUUCCUGAAAAAGUUACAAACAGGGAUUAUUGUCAUACAAUGUAACUCGUGUUUACUCACUCAAAAUAAAAAUUAUACAUGACCUGUCCAAAAUAGAUGAUCUUACCCUAAACUGUGAGGAUACAGUCUGCAUAGAGCCACCCUUCUUCUUGCCUCCCUUCUUGCCUCCCGCUUCUGUGAAUUAUUUUGGUGGACAAUGCAAUUCACCAUAGAGUAAAAUGUGAUAUUCAUGUGAUAAAAAUGUAACUUUCAUUAUUCUAACAGAAAACAGAACUCUAUGCAUACCCUCAGCAGGAGCAGGAGGAUAUAGGAAAGCCAGAAGUUUAACUGGAGACUUCUGGAACAGCUGCACAACAGAAUCAUUCAGUGGGUCCUUGUUCUUGUCCAGCCAGCCACCGAUGUUGUAGUCCACUGUGCCAGCAUAGUGCACCAGGGAGAAGUGGGCCUCAGCCUUGCCCUUUGCGGGUUUUGGCUUUUCAAAGGCUUUGGUUUUGCCAAGAUGCUGGUCGUAGAGCUUGUUCUUGAAGGAUACAUCAGUGGCCUUGGGGAACAUGCACUCCUCUUCAAGGAUGGAGAAGAUACCCAUUGGCUAAAAUAAUGAGUAGAGAUAAACAUUUUGA